rnacentral:rRNA from 1 species
AACGAACGCUGGCGGCAGGCCUAACACAUGCAAGUCGAGCGCGCCUUCGGGUGAGCGGCGGACGGGUUAGUAACGCGUGGGAAUAUGCCCGGUACUAGGGAAUAGCCACUGGAAACGGUGAGUAAUACCUUAUACGCCCUUCGGGGGAAAGAUUUAUCGGUAUCGGAUUAGCCCGCGUUAGAUUAGGUAGUUGGUGGGGUAAUGGCCUACCAAGCCUACGAUCUAUAGCUGGUUUUAGAGGAUGAUCAGCAACACUGGGACUGAGACACGGCCCAGACUCCUACGGGAGGCAGCAGUGGGGAAUCUUGGACAAUGGGCGCAAGCCUGAUCCAGCCAUGCCGCGUGAGUGAUGAAGGCCUUAGGGUCGUAAAGCUCUUUCGCCAGAGAUGAUAAUGACAGUAUCUGGUAAAGAACCCCCGGCUAACUCCGUGCCAGCAGCCGCGGUAA